CAACUAGCCCACUAUCCUAAAAUUUUUCAGCAACCAACCCUAGGUACCAAGACCUUCAGCCGCCGCAUACCCCUCAGCCUUGGCCACCACGCCUCACGCAUGCCCUUCAGCCUUGGUCACAACGCUCCACGCGUCUGACACUCCUAUACCCUGCAAACACAAACAACAAGAAACAGCAGCAACAACAGAAGUCAAGUAGCAGAAGAAACAAGAGCAAAAAGACAAAAAAUAGAAAAUAAAAGUCUUGUAACUUGGCUUUAAAAGCCAGAACCUGGUCAUUGAAAUUUCUUCUUCUUUUUUUAGAAAAGCUUUUUACACACACAUCAGUAAAAAAACAAGAAAACAAAAUCAAGAAAGGUUGAUUUUAGUCUCUACUUGUUCGGUUUCUUUUUGUUCAAUUUAUAUUUUUUUUAUCUUUUUAUUUUCAUUACAAAUCUAUUUUAAAUAGAAAAAUCAAUAAAAAGAAAACAAAAAGAGGAGAACCUUACCCGAACGCCCCUUGGUCGGCCAUCGAAAUUCUUCUCUCCGUCGCUGAAGUCGAUUUCAAGAGAGAAAAAGGGGUCUUUCUUUCAUAUAUCAUUUUUUUGAGGGGGGUUUUGAGGAGGCUCGGUUUUCAAACUCUUUAAACGGAGGUAAAAAACCCUCCUUUUCACUUGCCUUCAACCACCGUCCAUGGUGGCCUUAACGGCGGUGGCGAUGAUGGGUAUGAAGCCCUAGCCAAAAAGAGAGAAAUGGGGGAGAAAAGGGGAAGGAGAGAAAGCAAAAAGCUUUCUAUUUUCUUAAAAAAAAAAAGGGCUGGAAACAAAAAAAUAAAAAAGGGGGUUUUAAGUUUUUUUUAAAAAAAAGAAGGCCUGCACUUUAACCCGUUUAUCAGGCCUAAUAUGUGCCUUUUAAUUGAAAAUGGGGGAAUUGUGCAUUAGGUCCUUCCCAUUUGCGCAAACAUUCAAUCAUGCCUCAUUUAUUUCAUUUCUUUUUAAUUUGGCUUUGACACUUAUGUAUAUUAGCAUUUCGGUCCCAUUUCUUUUUAUUUUAUUAUUUUCGCCCCAAAUUUCUGUCUAGAGUUCAAAUUAGCCCCUUUUCGUUCUUUUCUUUUAUAUUUUAUUUUAUUACUUAACAUUAUGGUAUUAUAAUUGUAUUUUAUUUUCUUGCAUAUUAUUUACUAUUAUUAUUAUCACCUUCAUUCCAUUAUUAUUAUUGCUAUUGCUAUUUUUUUGUUGUUUAUAUUUUUAUUUAUAUUAUUAUUAGUAUCAUUAUUAUUAUUAUUAUCUCCAUUAUUAUUAUUAUUAUUAUUAUUAUUAUUAUUAUUAUUCUCUUGUUAUAUUACUAUUAUUGUUAUAUUAUCACUAUUUUUCUUACUAUUAUUAUUACUACAAAUAUUAUUACUAUGAUUAUAUUUUCCUUUUAUACCCAUUUGCUUAGUACCUCAUUGAUUUUAUAUUUUUACUAUUAUAAUAAUUAUUAUCAUUACUUUUCAUCGUUAUAUAUAUAUUUUUUCUUUUCUCUGUUUUAUUAUUAUUAUUAAUAUCAUUAUUAAUAUUAAUAUUAUUUUUAUUUUUAUUAACAUAUUUUUUUACCAUAUUAUUAUUUCCUUUUUUAUACAUAUCAUUAUUGAUAUUAACAUAUACUAUUAUUAUUAAUGUACUAUUAUUUUCUAUUUAUUACUAUUAUAUUUAUUACUAUUAUUAAUAUAUAUUUUUUUCUUUUCUUUAGUGCUAUCACUAUUAUUAUAUUAUUUGUCUUAUUAAUGUACUGUUACUAUUUCCCACUUAGCUAUUAUUACUAUUAUUAUUUUUACUAUUAUAAUUAUUAUUAAUCUUUUAUUAUUCUCUUACAUUGCUUGUUUGUCUUACUCCUCUAUUUCUGAUCUCAUCAUUCUUAUUAUGCAUUUAUUUUUAUUCUGUUAUGUUCAUUGAUAUCGAAAUUCAUAUUUGUUUGCUCAUUUUUUGCUAUUCCACUUUACCACGAAUUUAUAUUAAUUACCCAACGAAAAUAAUUCUUUCAUAAAAGUAAUAUUCGGUGUUUGAAAUUCGGGGAAACGUGCCCUAAUUUAUUGGGUUUCGAUUUUUCUCGUUCAUCCUAAUUAACCGAAUAUCCUUUUAAAAGAAGUUAAAAUACAUUAAUUUUAAAUAAAAGGCAAGUUCAGUCCCAAAGUUCGAGAUGUUGUGUCCUAACUUACUAGACAUGAUAUUUUAUUACCUCGAGAUGAGAGAGUCCUUAACAUCCGUUUUAAUUUAUACAAUUAUUUUUUUAAAUUAGCAUUAUACAAAGAGGGAUCGUAUUUUAAAUUCUAUUAAGUUUUCAAAUUUUCGACAAUAAGACACUAAUUAAUCAAUUAGGUACCAAUUUUGGGCGUAUCGAGGGUGCUAACCCUUCCUCAUGCGUAACCGACUCCCGAACUCAUUUUUUGAUUUUCGUAGACCAAAAAGUAUCGUUUUAGUAAAGCUUAAAUUUUAUUAAAAUGAUUAAUUUAAGGUGACCCGAUCACACCUCAUCAAAAAUGAUUGGUGGCGACUCCCGUUUUAAUUUUCACUUUCAAAACCAAAGUCGAUCCCCGUUUAAAAAAAAUGGUUACGACAGUUUGGCGACUCCGCUGGGGACUUUUAUAAGAGAGUCAAGCCACAAGUUGAUUAACUUUUGUCUUUUUUUUCGAAAAUUGAGAAUUUGGGUUUUGAUAUACGAUCUCUUUAUUGCAUUUCGCCCGUUUUUCAUACUGUUUUCAUCAUUUUAUUCCUAUUUUCUUUAAUCGCUUCAAGUUUUUAUGCAUAUAUCCUCUCACAUUGCAUUGCAUGACCGUUGUGGUCACACCUUUUAAGUGGGAGUGAGAAACUAUUCCUUCGUGAGGUUUUCACCUCCGUGCAGGAUAGCGGAUCGCUUUCGGGAUACAUCUGUACCUAUGUCUUCGUGAGAUUUUCAUCUCCGCAUGGUCAUAGGGAAAUGUAUUCCCCUGGACCGAACUCGAUCUACAUGAGCUUAUAAUGGGUGAAGAUCGAGGAAUCUGUUGGUUCGGGUACCUUUACUCUAGAACCAAGCCACAUAUAGAGAGACCUAAGAGCCCACCCUAGGUAGAGCCACUCCGAACCCCUAGUGGUCACCCGAAUUGCUUUAUUUGUUAUUUAUUUAUCCUGCACUAACGUGUUUUAUUUUUGUUUUGUUUGUGAUUGCAUUGCAUUACAUCAUCCUAGGAAGGAGGUGUUGAUUCAUAUUUGAUUGGUAAAUAGAACAGUUUGUCAUAAGAAAACAAAUUUUUUGAUAAAGUGGAUUAUAAUACGGUUGUCUAAAUAUGGUCCAAGUGAACACAUGAAAGAAGGCUGAUAGUCCGUGAAGAAAUACAAGACUUUGCUUCAUUGCCUGAGGACAGAAACUGACAAAGAUUCUUAAAGGAGCUGACAAGUAUCAUAGAAAUAAGUGAACAACGAGUCGCGGCCUGGAUCAAGCAAAAAGGAGUUAAUAUAGACAUCUCUUGGGGAAUUUGCAAGACUCAACCAUAAAAUCCGGAUGCGAAGAGGAAGAUAUGUGUCUUCACUUGGAAUAUGAGAAAGGCCGUAUAUGUAGUCCGUUUUAUGUAAAGGAAUUUGUCUUCUAGAAAAGUUGUUCUAAUGAAAUUGAAUUCAGAAUCAAUGUCUUCCUUUCUUUUGCAUACAUUUCAUGCAUUUGCAUUGCAUUACAUUAUUUGCACUAGACUUUCCCUAAAAGAACCCUAAUUAGGUGAAAUUAUUUCAGUUAAUCUGGGAACCGAUAAAAGUCAAGCAACUAGGCAUCUUUACGGUACAAGGAAAAGGAUAAAAGAUAUGGAUCAAAGAUUGGAAAGACUGGAACAACUUCAAAAAGAGAUGCAAGACCAGUUACAACUACAAAUGCAAGAGCAACUGGCGAAGAUCCAGCAAGAUACAAGGGACCAAAUACUAGAGUCCCAAAGGAAUACGAUUAAUCAGUUGCCCCAAUUACUGGCUAAGGGGCUAGGAAAAGGAAAAAACUCUAUGACCAAUGCUGGGGAGGACAAUGAGGAGCCUCUAUACCCUCCGGGUUUCACCCCGAUAAACGAUCAGACACGUUCGCAAGAUGUACCUAUUGCUAUCAGAUCACAACAACAUCAGGUCGGUACCUCGGCACCCAUGAACUACCCGACGGGCUCAGGUUCCAAUCCAAGGAACAAUCUAACCAAUCAUGAAGUUCCUGAUCUAGAUGAAAUGGAAGGAAUAGGAAAAUCAAAGGUUGAACUGGCGAGACAACUCGAAGAUCGAUACAAGUGGUUGGAAGAAAAACUUAGAGUGAUGGAGAAUGUUGAUUACCAUCGCAGGAUCGAUGCCAAGGAUCUGAGUUUGGUACCUAAUCUAGUACUCUUGGCUAAAAUUUAAGACUCCAGAGUUUGAAAAGUAUAAUGGGACUAGUUGUCCUGAAGCUCACAUCACAAUGUUCUGUCGAAGGAUGACGGGAUAUGUUAAUAAUGACCAAUUAUUAAUUAAUUGCUUCCAAGACAGUCUAAUCGGGCCAGCAACUAAAUGGUACAAUAAAUUAAGUCGUGCUAAAAUCAAUUCAUGGAAAGACUUAGCACGGGCUUUCAUGAAGCAGUAUGGCCACAUGACUGACAUGGCACCCGACAGAAUUACACUACAGAAUAUGGAAAAGAAGCAAGGUGAGAGCUUCAGGCAAUAUGCCCAAAGAUGGAGAGAGGUAGCGACGCAAGUCCAACCACCUCUUCUAGAGAAAGAAACUAAAUCACUUUUCUUCAACACUCUGAAAGCCCCGUUCAUUACCCAUAUGUUGAGAAGCGCUACCUUGAGCUUCUCAGACAUAGUAAUGUCCAGCGAGAUGAUUGAAAACGCAAUCAGAAGCGGGAAGUAGAUGCAGGAGAAAGCGCCAAGAGGUCAACCCCAAAUAGAAAUGAAAAUGAAGUGAAUAGUAUGAGCAAAUGGUACCCCAAAUUGGUCAACAUAGGCCAGCCGAGGCAGGAAUCCAACUCGAGGCCGAAUAUAGAAUGGCUCCGGUUUACACCAAUCCCAAUGUCAUAUAAGGAGUUGUAUCAGAAUCUCUUUGAUGUACAUGUAGUGUCACCGUUCUACUCAGAACCAGUGCAACCUCCAUUCCCAAAAUGGUAUAAUGAGAAUGCUCAAUGUGAGUACCACGCGGGAAUAACGGGACACUCAAUCGAAAGCUGCACUAUUUUUAAAAAGUUGGUCGAAAGGUUCAUGGAAAUGGGAGUUGUAAAGUUUGACGAUUCCUCAGAACCAAAUCGCUCUGACAAUGCAUCUUUUUGAGCAAAUAUUCUUUGAUUUCAUAUUGUACAAAUAAUCGUUCUUAGAUUCAUUUGUUCUUUGGACUUUCUUUCAAAUAUUCAUGUAUACUUCAUCCAUGAUCAUACCAUACAAAUAAUCAUCCUUAGAAUCAUUUAUUCUUUGGAAUCUGCCUUCAGCGGGUCCCUAGAUAUCAAUGAUGUGAGUAAUGCUGUCAUUGACUCCGAGUCUCCUUUUGAGCAAAAUAUGGGCCUAAAGGGAUCUCAACACUUUGAAGAUGAUAGGGACGUAGAUUACUCUCUGAUUUGUUAAGAAUGGUAGAGUAAGAUGAAAACAGAUCCUCUCUUACAAAAAGUUAGUGGAUAGUUGGCCUAGGACAAGAGAAAGAGGCAAACAUCGGAGUCUGCAUUACCACAAAUACAAAGCGAGACGUUAUUGAAUCAUUUCCAAGAAUGUAAAUAUUUUUUUUGCGCGACUGUAUCAAGAUACGCCUGGCCACUAAGACGUGAGGAUAUCGCAAGGUUUUGAACGACAUAUACUAAUGACAUGUACGAUGGCCGAGUUAAUCAUGAGAUUUGGUUUCUACCGAUCCACCGUAGAAAGGGAUUACAUUAGUGCCAUAAAUGCCAAAUGGAGACGAGAUUCAUGUGCUCCUUCAUUUUUCCGUAGACUUUCUCUAUGUGAGGGCAUGGAGGUUAUGGGCCGAUCUAUUUGAAAGAUUUUAACCAAUACUGAUUCACCUUUGGGGUCGUCGAUUACUCCGCGGAAAGGGUAAAAGUUGUUUCAUAUGCCAAUGUCACUAGGUCGACAUUCAUCAAAUUCUAAAAAAAAAGGGUGCCAACAAAGAGUGCCAGAAAAUCAUGUCUAACACAGCUGUACAAUGUCAAAAGGUUGCAGUCUGUUCAAAGAUUAGGCGCUAUAUGGCAAAGGCAAAGGUAAAAAAAAAAGAAAAGAAAAAGAAAAAGAAAAAGAAAAAGAAACCCAACAACAAAUUAAAGAUCAUGGGGAAGAUAACCGAGACUUGUAAAGAUUGGCAUAAGAAGUCACCAUUUACCCUCUAUGCUCAUCGAACGUUGGCCAAGACCUUCACCGGGGCAGUGUAUUUCAUCAGUUUAUGGGAUAAAAACGAUUUUAAAGAAGAGAUUUCUUGUUUCUGAGUCUUGUCAGACCUGAAGGUGGAUAAGGCAAUCCUGAUACGAUCAGUUGAAUUCGAAGAAAGGAGGUUGAAAGCCAUCCGUCAUGGUCCAAUGAACGAUGUGAGCUUACGAUGAAGAGGUUCAUCCUAGAGAGUUCCACGAGGGGAACUUGAUAAUGAAAAGAUCCCUCCUAUAUAAAAGACUUCAGAGAAAAAAUGGAUGUCGAACUGAGAAGAACUUUAUGUAGUAAAGAAGACCUGUUUUGGAGGGGCAUCAAUGUUGACCGAGAGGGAUGGCAAAGAUUUGCCCAAGUCGGUGAAUUCGGAUUUCGUCAAGAAGUAUUUCACCUAGAAAAUGAGAGGCUAAGGCGAAAACCCGCAAAGGGCGCUUUGAGACCUUCAAAAAAAAAGAAAGAAAGAAAGAAAGAAAAAAAGAAAGAAAUAGAAGAAAAAUGAGAGGCCAAAGCAAAAACCCGCAAAGGGCGUUUUGAGACCAAAGGGGAUUUGAGUUGAAAACCCGGAAAGAACGGCUCAAAUUUGGAUCCAAGUGGGGCAUACAACAGUCUUGCUAUACCUGAAUUAACAAUGAAGAAGUAUGCUACGUCUUGGGGCAUCAACAAAGUGCUUCGAAUCUCCUAAACACGUAUUGAGCUCAGAAAAGCCCUUAAGAAGUUGGUACAAGAGAAGCUCAAGCUGUGAUAUCUGGGGCACCUAGUUUUCCAUUCUACCCAUUUUGAAUUUGCUAAAUUUGAUUAACUCAUUCGUUUUGAGUUAAUUUCCUUCUUAUUGCAUUUGCAAUCUCUGAUUAAUUUAUCCAUUUCGAGCUAUGCUCCUAAUCAAUUUCCUUCUUAUUUUGAUCUUUUUCAGGCAUUUUGCAUUGAAAUAAUGAUUAAUGGACUAAUAACACUUUCACAAAAGAAAUUUUGCAUAUUACUCUGGAAGUUUCUAACUAAUACAAGAACUUGAAACAUGACUAUUGUUUAGAACUUAUCAAGCCUAAUGGUUGGAAAUAUUGAAGAAAAGAUGAUUAUCUCUUUGGACUCUUUAUUGGUUGAACCAAAAGACAAGACAUUUCAUCGGUGAUACAAUCCCGGCAAAGAACAAGCAAUGGGAUUAUUCUCGAGAAAAUGAAAAUGGUAUUCUGUAUUCAUACAGAUAUCAGGCAUAUACAUUUUUUCAUUACACCUAAGGAAUGGUGUAAUAGAUCAAAUUGAUUGAAUAUGAUGCAAAUCCUAUACCUCUGAGUGGCAGCAGGAUGGAUAGAAGAAAUCAAAUGAUUAUUCCCCUGAAAUGCAGUGGGAAGUACAAACUUUAUGUCCUCGAAGCUACAGUGGAAGAAACUCUGAAAUUACAACGGGGCAAGCUUGCUAAGCAAAAUGUGAUUGUUUCUUUGACUUUCCUGUCAAGAAUACCAACCGAACAAGAUGGCAGCAUAAUACGUCAAUGAUAAUGUCCUGAUGAGCAAUGAAUGAUGAUACCUUAAGCCUUUUUAAAUGGAUCAUUUUCAUGUCAUUCAUAACACAUCUAGUUAGGAGCAUUUGAUUCAUUUCGAUCAUAGCAUCCUAAUUAUUUGACAUAAGCAUCAUAUUUAGUUAGGAGCAUUUGAUUCAUUUCAAUCAUUGCAUCCUAAUUAUUUGGCAUAAGCAUAGAUACAUGAAACUAAUUUUAUAGAUCAUGUUCCUCAGAGGACAGUGCAGUGGAAUCGGUGAAUCCACAAGCCUUAACCCCCUAAGCAGUAGGGUAACAGGCUAAAUUUACAAAUCUUAAACCCCUAAGCAGUAGGGUAACAGACCGAAUUGCAGAUCUUAUCUCCCUAAGCAGUAGUGGAGCAGAUCGAAGACGAAGGGUCUUGACCCCCUAAGCAGUAGGGUAACAAGCCGAAUUUACAGACCUUAAACCCCUAAGCAGUAGGAGAACAGGUUGAAUUCAUAGAUCUUAUCACCCUAAGCAGUAGGGAAACAGAUCAAAGACGAAGGGCCUUAACCCCCUAAGCAGUAGGGUAACAGGCUAAAUUUACAGAUCUUAACACCCUAAGCAGUAGGGAAACAGAUCAAAGGUGAUGGGCUUUAACCCCCUAAGCAGUAGGGUAACAAGCCGAAUUUACAGACUUAAACCCCUAAGCAGUAGGGUAACAGGAUGAAUUCACAGAUCUUGUCACCCUAAGCAGUAGGGAAACAGAUCAAAGACGAAGGGCCUUAACCCCCCUAAGCAGUAGGGUAACAGGCUAAAUUUACAAAUCUUAACACCCUAAGCAGUAGAGAAACAGAUCGAAGGUAAUGGGCUUUAACCCCCUAAGCAGUAAGGUAACAAGCCGAAUUUACAGACCUUAAACCCCUAAGCAGUAGGGUAACAGGUUGAAUUCACAGAUCUUAUAACCCUAAGUAGUAGGGAAACAGAUCGAAUGCGAUGAGCCUUAACCCCCUAAGUAGUAGGGUAACAGGCUAGAAAUCAAAUAUCCUCUCCCUGAAAUAACUUUGGAGCGGCUAAAAGCCACAGCAGAUCUUCUUGAAGUUUCAGCAGAGUAGAUUGAAAAUCACAUAUAUUAUCUCUCUGAAGUUGCAGUAGAGCGGAUCCAAACAAACCUUAUCUCCCUGAAGUUGUAGCGGAGCAAGUUGAAAUCACAAGUCUCACCUCCCUAAAAUUGUAGUGGAGCAGGCUGAAGAUAAUGGAUCUUAUUUCCCUGGAGUUGCAGCAGAACAGAUCAAAGCUACGAAUUACGAGUCCUACACCUCUGAAGUUGUAGUAGGGUCGGAUCGAAUUCUCUAUAUUGAGCAGAUGAAAGUUACAAGUCUAUACCCCUGAAGAUGCAGUGGGAUGGAACGAGGCUUUUAGAAGAACAGAAGUACCAAGAAGCCAAGAUUCAGAGGGACUGGGCAAAAUUGGCACCUUUAAAGUCUUUGCUCCAUUCUCGUUACACGACAACGAGCAAAGAGGGGCAGCUGUAGUAGCCAAUUUUGGCCCAGACAAAUAAACACAAAUAAAAUAGCCCAAAUUAAAAGUCCAUUUACAAACAAAGUCCAUUUACAAACAAAGUUACCAGCCCAAUUACAGCUCAAAAAAAUUAAAACCCUAAAAGCCCAACUAGCCCACUAUCCUAAAAUUUUUCUGCAACCAACCCUAAGUACCAAGACCUUCAGCCGCCACAUACCCCUCAGCCUUGGUCACCACGUUCCACGCGUCUGACACUCCUAUACCCUGCAAACACAAACAACAAGAAACAACAGCAACAACAGAGGCCAAGUAGCAGAAGAAACAAGAGAAAAAAGACAAAAAAUAGAAAAUAAAAGUCUUGUAACUUGGCUUUAAAAGCCAGAACCUGGUCAUUGAAAUUUCUUCUUCUUUUUUUAGAAAAGCUUUUUACACACACAUUAGUAAAAAAUCAAGAAAACAAAAUCAAGAAAGGUUGAUUUUAGUCUCUACUUGUUCGGUUUCUUUUUGUUCAAUUUAUA
rnacentral:lncRNA from 1 species